UACGUAGGGCGCAAGCGUUGUCCGGAAUUAUUGGGCGUAAAGAGCUCGUAGGCGGUUUGUCGCGUCGAAUGUGAAAACCCGGGGCUCAACCCCGGGCCUGCAUUCGAUACGGGCAGACUAGAGUUCGGUAGGGGAGACUGGAAUUCCUGGUGUAGCGGUGAAAUGCGCAGAUAUCAGGAGGAACACCGGUGGCGAAGGCGGGUCUCUGGGCCGAAACUGACGCUGAGGAGCGAAAGCGUGGGGAGCAAACAGG
rnacentral:rRNA from 1 species